UCUUUCUACACUGCGCUACUUCUGACCAUGGGCCCAUAGUGAACUAUAUACUGUAGGGAAUCGGGUGCCAUUUGGGAUGCAAACUGAGGGCUGAGCCAUGUGACCCCUCCCUCUCAAACCACUCAUAAACAUCUCCUCUCUACUCAACCAUUCCAUUUAUUCCUCUGUCAUCACCCUCUUCAUGUUCCAUGUAUUCCUCUGUCAUCACCCUCCUCAGGUUCCAUGUAUUCCUCUGUCAUCACCCUCUUCAUGUUCCAUGUAUUCCUCUGUCAUCACCCUCCUCAGGUUCCAUGUAUUCCUCUGUCAUCACCCUCUUCAGGUUCCAUUUAUUCCUCUGUCAUCACCCUCUUCAGGUUCCAUUUAUUCCUCUGUCAUCACCCUCUUCAGGUUCCAUUUAUUCCUCUGUCAUCACCCUCCUCAGGUUCCAUGUAUUCCUCUGUCAUCACCCUCUUCAGGUUCCAUUUAUUCCUCUGUCAUCAUCCUCUUC
rnacentral:lncRNA from 1 species